CACUCCGCCUGGGGAGUACGGCCGCAAGGCUGAAACUCAAAGGAAUUGACGGGGGCCCGCACAAGCGGUGGAGCAUGUGGUUUAAUUCGAAGCAACGCGAAGAACCUUACCWGGUCUUGACAUCCUCUGAAAACCCUAGAGAUAGGGCUUCUCCUUCGGGAGCAGAGUGACAGGUGGUGCAUGGUUGUCGUCAGCUCGUGUCGUGAGAUGUUGGGUUAAGUCCCGCAACGAGCGCAACCCUUGAUCUUAGUUGCCAUCAUUAAGUUGGGCACUCUAAGGUGACUGCCGGUGACAAACCGGAGGAAGGUGGGGAUGACGUCAAAUCAUCAUGCCCCUUAUGACCUGGGCUACACACGUGCUACAAUGGACGGUACAAAGAGCUGCAAGACCGCGAGGUGGAGCUAAUCUCAUAAAACCGUUCUCAGUUCGGAUUGUAGUCUGCAACUCGCCUACAUGAAGUUGGAAUCGCUAGUAAUCGCGGAUCAGC
rnacentral:rRNA from 1 species